AUGUUACUGAAAGUUAGUUUUCAGAUAUGUCUCUAUGUUCUCAAGUUCGUUCAUAAUUUGCUUUUACCAAGAGAUUUUACUACACCUUAUAGUUGCAAAAAGAAUCUUAGUUUGUAACAGGUUGCCAAUUCUCCAGUGAUUUUCUAUUAGCUCGAAUCCCUUGUGGUGAAAAUAUUUCACAGCAUGAAUAAAUUAACAACAACAACAAAAUGAUUUUGUUAUGUUUUUUACUGUGUUGUGUUAAAUACUAAUUGACUGAUCAUAACAAUCUGAUAUUGUGACAUUUUAUUUCAUAUGGAUUUCCUCUGCUUGCAUCUAGCAUUACUUUUUUCAUGAAACUGAUUAGAGUAAUGUUAGAAUUCAGAUUCAAAUACAGUCUCCAUUAGACCUCAUAUAUCUCAAGUUGGAAUUGAUCAAGCACUGAAUUAGCAAUCAUAUACUUGAAAUAACCAAACAAGCAUUGCACAACAUAAAAACAUAAUACUAUAGCACAAACUGUUUAUAUAUGGAGUACAAUGCUGCAAAGCAUAACAUCACACAGAAAAGACAUCCAAAGCUUUAGAAAAAAAAUACAAGUGAUGACUCUUCUCUAACAUGUUAAGAAGUUCAUUUAAAUUCUGAACUUCUCAACUAUCACUGUCUCGCUGUUGUCUGUCUGUCUUGUAUUACUCACUGUAUAUAAGUUGUAAAGCGGAUAAGAAAGAGGAUGAGCACUCUUUUCUUGUCUCUUCACUCCUUUCUGCACCGCUCCUUCCAUCUUAUAUAAUCUAUCUAUUUUUUUUUAUCUAUUCUAAUGAAACAAAAUAAACAAGAGAAGAAAAGGAUUUGACACCAAGAGAAGAUUUGCACAUUUCGUUUUACACAAGAAAGCAAUAAACCACUCGCAUCCGACUUUUUAAACCAAAUUGAUCAUUCUCAGGCCAAUGAGUAGUUCGCAACUGAGACAUCUGCUGGAGUGGUAGAAUGGAUGUAGACAAACUCAAGGCUUUUACCAGCUGACAAUGAGUUGAUCCAUGCUGGGAAUGUAUAUGAAUCACCAAACUUUGUGAGUCCCCAGAUUGGACCAUAAAGCUUGGAUAUUGAAAGAUUGAGAGACUUGAGAUUCUUGGUUGAUUUGUUAGUCACGAUUGUUGAGUAUCUAUAAUAAGUUCUUCCAUUCGCAACCCAAGAGCUGAAUGUAGUCCACCUGAAGAUUAAUUUUAAACACAAAAAUUGAUGAGCUCCCUUGAAAUAUGUAGCACCAACACUUCGUAUUAAAUGUGAGCCUGGUGUCAAUGUU
rnacentral:lncRNA from 1 species